UCUAUGUCUUGCUUACAUCCCGCUUGUUUACAGCCUAUAGAUUGGUGUGUCCAUAUAAUCCAAGAAAAUGGAAACUGAACAGCCAGAGGAAAUCUUCCACAGCACCAAAACCAACCGUGAAUUUGGUAAACGCCCUGCAGAAGAUAUGGAAGAGGAACAAGCUUUUAAAAGAUCUAGGAACACCGAUGAGAUGGUUGAAUUACGCAUUCUGCUUCAGAGCAAGAAUGCUGGGGCAGUGAUUGGAAAAGGAGGCAAGAAUAUUAAGGCUCUGCGUACAGACUACAAUGCCAGUGUUUCAGUCCCAGACAGCAGUGGCCCUGAGCGCAUAUUGCGUAUCAGUGCUGAUAUUGAAGCAAUUGGAGAAAUUCUGAAGAAAAUCAUCCCUACCUUGGAAGAGGGCCUGUGGUUGCCAUCACCCACUGCAACCAGCCAGCUCCCGCUCGAAUCUGAUGCUGUGGAAUGCUUAAAUUACCAACACUAUAAAGGAAGCGACUUUGACUGUGAAUUGAGACUGUUGAUUCAUCAGAGUCUGGCAGGAAGGAUUAUUGGGGUCAAAGGUGCUAAAAUCAAAGAAAUUCGAGAGAAUACUCAGACAAAAAUCAAGCUUUUCCAGGAAUGCUGUCCUCAUUCCACUGACAGAGUCGUUCUUAUUGGAGGAAAACCUGAUAAGGUUGUAGAGUGCAUAAAGAUCAUCCUUGAACUUAUAUCAGAGUCGCCCAUCAAAGGACAUGCACAGCCUUAUGAUCCCAACUUUUAUGAUGAAACUUAUGAUUAUGGUGGCUUUACAAUGAUGUCUGAUGACCGCCGUGGCUGUCCUGUGGGAUUUCCCAUGCGGGGAAGAAGUGGUUUUGACAGGAUGCCUCCUGGUCGUGGUGGGCACCUCAUGCCUCCAUCUAGAAGAGAUUAUGAUGAUAUGAGCCCUUGGCGAGGACCUCCUCCCCCUCCUCCUGGACGAGGUGGCUGGGGUGGUAGCAGAGCUCGCAAUCUUCCUCUUCCUCUUUCACCACCACCUAGAGGGGGGGAUAUAAUGGCCUAUGACAGGAGAGGAAGACCUGGAGAUCGUUAUGAUGGCAUGGUAGAUGAAACAUGGGACUCUGCAAUAGAUGCAUGGAGCCCUUCAGAAUGGCAGAUGGCUUAUGAACCACAGGGUGGCUCUGGAUAUGAUUAUUCCUACGCAGGGGGUCGUGGCUCAUAUGGUGAACUUGGUGGACCUAUUAUUACAACACAAGUAACUAUUCCCAAAGAUCUGGCUGGAUCUAUAAUUGGCAAAGGUGGUCAGAGGAUUAAACAAACUCAACAUGAGUCAGGAGCUUCGAUCAAAAUUGAUGAGCCUUUAGGAGGGUCUGAAGAUCGGAUCAUUACCAUUUCAGGAACAGAGGACCAGAUACGGAAUGCACAGUAUUUGCUGCAAAACAGUGUGAAGCAGUAUGCAGAUGUUGAAGGAUUCUAAUGCAAGAUAUUUUUUCUUAUUAGAGUGUGAAGCAGUAUUCUGGAAAGUUUUUCUAAGACUAGUGAAGAACUGAAGGAUUCCUGCAUCUUUUUUUUUAUCUGCUUCUGUUUAAAAAGCCAACAUUCCUCUGCUUCAUAGGUGUUCUGCAUUUGAGGUGUAGUGAAAUCUUUGCUGUUCACCAGAUGUAAUGUUUUA